GUCCCUUUCGUCUAGAGGGUUAGGACCUCGCUCUUUCACGGCGGUAACGGGGGUUCAAAUCCCCCAGGGGACA
rnacentral:tRNA from 1 species